rnacentral:lncRNA from 1 species
CUCUUUUACUACUAGAUUUACCUUCAUUCUUCAAAAAUUUAUCAUUUUUCUCUGAAUUCGAAGUCUCUUUAUCUUCUCUUUUACAACUAGAUUUGCCUUCAUUCUUCAAAACUUGAUCAUUUUUCUCUGAAUUCGACAACACAUUAACAUUUUUGUCUCUUCCUCUUCUCUUUUACUACUUGAUUUACCUUCAUUCUUCAAAACUUGAUCAUCUUUGUCUGAAUUCGACAACACAUUCACAUUUUGUCUCUCUUCCUCUUCUCUUUUUCUACUUGAUUUACCUUCAUUCUUCAAAACAUGAUCAUUUUUUUCCGAAU